rnacentral:rRNA from 1 species
AGUUAACGUUGGCGGCGUGCGUAACACAUGCAAGUCGAACGAUCCUUAGGUGGCUUGCCAUCUAAGGAGAGUGGCGAACGGGUGAGUAACACGUGAGUAAUCUGCCCUCGAGUGAGGAAUAACUUCGCGAAAGCGGAGCUAAUACCGCAUAACACUAUGAAGCAUAGGCUUUCAUAGUCAAAGCCCCUUAGGGGGUGCUUGAGGAUGAGCUUGCGGCUUAUUAGCUAGUUGGUAGGGUAACGGCCUACCAAGGUUAUGAUGAGUAGCCGGCCUGAGAGGGUGUACGGCCACACUGGAACUUAGACACGGUCCAGACUCCUACGGGAGGCAGCAGUGGGGAAUUUUGCGCAAUGGGCGAAAGCCUGACGCAGCGACGCCGCGUGGAGGAUUAAGGCCUUCGGGUUGUAAACUCCUGUCAGA